UAUCAGCUGGGAGAUGACUUCCACCUUUAUAGGUGGUGAGAAACAAGCUUGUAUCAGUGGGGGAGUCAAUCCCCCAGCUGAUAU
rnacentral:tRNA from 1 species